rnacentral:rRNA from 1 species
UACGAAGGGGGCUAGCGUUGUUCGGAAUUACUGGGCGUAAAGCGCGCGCAGGCGGCUAUCCAAGUCAGUGGUGAAAGCCCGGAGCUCAACUCCGGAACUGCCAUUGAAACUGUUUAGCUUGAGGAUGAGAGAGGUGAGUGGAAUUCCCAGUGUAGAGGUGAAAUUCGUAGAUAUUGGGAAGAACACCGGUGGCGAAGGCGGGUCUCUGGGCAGUAACUGACGCUGAGGAGCGAAAGCGUGGGUAGCGAACAGG